rnacentral:rRNA from 1 species
CCUACGGGAGGCAGCAGUGGGGAAUAUUGGACAAUGGGCGAAAGCCUGAUCCAGCAAUGCCGCGUGAGUGAAGAAGGCCUUCGGGUUGUAAAGCUCUUUUACCCGGGAAGAUAAUGACCGUACCGGGAGAAUAAGCCCCGGCUAACUCCGUGCCAGCAGCCGCGGUAAUACGGAGGGGGCUAGCGUUGUUCGGAAUCACUGGGCGUAAAGCGUGCGUAGGCGGCCAUUCAAGUCAGAGGUGAAAGCCCAGGGCUCAACCCUGGAACUGCCUUUGAAACUAGGUGGCUGGAACACGGGAGAGGUGAGUGGAAUUCCGAGUGUAGAGGUGAAAUUCGUAGAUAUUCGGAAGAACACCAGUGGCGAAGGCGGCUCACUGGACCGUUGUUGACGCUGAGGCACGAAAGCGUGGGGAGCAAACAGGAUUAGAUACCCUGGUAGUCCACGCCGUAAACGAUGAUAACUAGCUGUUGGGGCUCUUUGAGCUCCAGUGGCGCAGCUAACGCAUUAAGUUAUCCGCCUGGGGAGUACGGCCGCAAGGUUAAACUUAAAGAUAUGCGNGNGAGAGCGACGACGACGACGACGGAGGAGG